AGACGCUUAUUAUAAACGAGUGCCAGUUGAAACAAUGCACGAAUUUGGUUAGUCUACAAACAUACCGAUAAUUCUGCACUACUUUCAGCGUUGGCAUCAUUAGGCUACCUGUGAUGUGACGCAAUGAUCUUAUCAGCUGUUCUGCAUGGAUUCUGGUUUGCUGGUCUACACAGAGGGUGAUCAAAUGUUUUUAAGCUCAGUGAUGCUACUCUUUACUGCGUUUUGGAUAACAAAGAAAAUGCAUUUAUUAUAAUAGAUCAAAGCAGGGAUAAAGGUGAAAGAAGGGCAAAAGGGAAAGGCCACACACAGGAAAUAGGGGACAACUAGUUAGUUGGCCUACAAGGGUACAUAGUCCCCACUGAGGUGAGAGAUUGUAUUCACUUCCGUAGUACAUACAUAGGUUUAAUAUUAGUGUGCAGUCUGUCGUUUUCUUUGGCAGUACAAUCGUGCCAUUGCAUUAUUCCCAUUUUCUUUGCAGCAUAUUUAUAUUCACCUGUGUUUGACAUUUUCAGGAGUGAAGAAGAAAUUGCUAGGGGCCAAACGCGAGGCCUAUGAAGAUGGAUCAAAAGUGUGUCAAACCACAUGUUGUAGUGCUGCAGCUCCUCAAUAGGAGAUGUUAAGCAUGGCAGGAAGGGAGAAGUCUCUCCUCGGGGGGCUGGGGUCCUCCGGUGUACAGCGGUGGAUCACACGCUGCAGAGGAAGAUCUGAAUCCUGUGCUGAUUGUCUGUCAAGCUGCAGAGCGUCUAGCAAGAUGUGUCAGAAUGACUUCAAACGGAGCGCUGCGUUAAUCUUUAUACAGUGAGUGUAAAUGUGUGAUAAAGUAUCCUACUCACUGAACACGGACCCGUUCUCGCAAUCCAUUGAAUUUCGGAGUAGGCCUACAAUGUGAAAUAAAAACAUUUAGGGAUACGGGAAUGAGGUUUGUGGCGUGGAGGGGGUGGGGCCAGGUGGUGGGCGUCACUUGUUGUAUGUUCUGCGCUAUCAGACGGCUGGUCUGUGCGUUGAUUAGCUCCUACUAAAUGUUUAGAUUCAGGUAUAGAAAAACCGCCAACCGGAGGAGCAUUAUGGAUGGGAUUGGUGACGUGAAGUCUGCCCGUCAGGUCAAUUAGUGUUUGACCCAAAUUGCUCAGUGAUAUUUCUUCCUUGUUUCCGGUUGUACAAGAAAAGCGUCAGCCUUAUAUUGACUGUUCAUACGUUUUAAUACAAUAAUGAAAAAUAAUAAAAGAAUUACACUAAUCA